CAGUCGCCGCGGUAAUGCGUAGGUGGCAAGCGUUGUCCGGAAUUAUUGGGCGUAAAGCGCGCGCAGGCGGAUAGGUCAGUCUGUCUUAAAAGUUCGGGGCUUAACCCCGUGAUGGGAUGGAAACUGCCAAUCUAGAGUAUCGGAGAGGAAAGUGGAAUUCCUAGUGUAGCGGUGAAAUGCGUAGAUAUUAGGAAGAACACCAGUGGCGAAGGCGACUUUCUGGACGAAAACUGACGCUGAGGCGCGAAAGCCAGGGGAGCGAACGGGAUUAGAUACCCCCGUAGUCCCUGUCUCUUAUACA
rnacentral:rRNA from 1 species